rnacentral:rRNA from 1 species
UGACACAUGUUAAACGGCCGCGGUACCCUGACCGUGCAAAGGUAGCAUAAUCACUUGUUCUCUAAAUAGGGACUUGUAUGAAUGGCCACACGAGGGUUUAACUGUCUCUUACUUUUAAUCAGUGAAAUUGACCUAUCCGUGAAGAGGCGGAUAUACACUAAUAAGACGAGAAGACCCUAUGGAGCUUCAAUUUAAUAGCACAAACUAACACCUUAAAAACCCACAGGCAUUAAAACACCGUCCAUGCGCUAUAAAUUUCGGUUGGGGUGACCUCGGAGUACAACAUAACCCCCGAGAUACAAGUAUACCAAGACCUCACCAGUCUAAGUAAACCAAUAUCUACUGACCCAAUAACUUGAUCAACGGACCAAGUUACCCUAGGGAUAACAGCGCAAUCCUAUUAUAGAGUCCAUAUCGACAAUAGGGUUUACGACCUCGAUGUUGGAUCAAGACAUCCUAGUGGUGUAGCCGCUACUAAGGGU